rnacentral:rRNA from 1 species
CCUACGGGUGGCAGCAGUGAGGAAUAUUGGGCAAUGGCCGCAAGCCUGACCCAGCCAUGCCGCGUGAAUGAAGAAGGUCUUCGGGUUUUAAAGCUCUUUCGGUCGGGACGAUGAUGGCUCUAGCGUCUAAAGAUGCACCGGCAAACUUCGUGCCGGCAGGGGCGGUACUACGGCGGGUGCGAGCGUUGCUCGGAAUUACUGGGCGUAAGGGGGGUGUAGGGGGAUAGUUAAGGCAGCGGUGAAAUGCCGGGGCUCAACCCCGGAACUGCCAUUAUGACUGUCUAUCUGGAGUACUGGAGAGGAGAGCGGAAUACGUAGUGUAGAGGUGAAAUUCGUAGAUAUUGCGAAGAACACCGGUUGCGAAGGCGGCUAUCUGGCC